GAUGAACGCUAGCUACAGGCUUAACACAUGCAAGUCGAGGGGCAGCAUGACGAUAGCUUGCUAUUGUUGAUGGCGACCGGCGCACGGGUGAGUAACGCGUAUCCAACCUGCCCUUGUCCAUCGGAUAACCCGUCGAAAGGCGGACUAACACGAUAUGCAGUUCUCUGCAGGCAUCUAACGAGAACGAAAUGUAAAGGAGAAGGAUGGGGAUGCGUCUGAUUAGCUUGUUGGCGGGGUAACGGCCCACGAAGGCGACGAUCAGUAGGGGUUCGGGGGGGAAGGUCCCCACAUCAGAACUGGGACACGGUCCAAACACCUACGGGAGGCAGCAGUGAGGAUUAUUGGUCGAUGGGCGAGCGGCUGAGCCAGCCAUGUAGCGUGCAGUAUGACGGCCGUAUGGGUUGUAAACUGCUUUUAUACGGGGAUAAAGUGAGCCACGUGUGGCUUAUUGCAGGUACCGUAUGAAUAAGGACCGGCUAAUUCCGUGCCAGCCGCCGCGGUAA
rnacentral:rRNA from 1 species